AAGCGCCCUGCGCCCAGCGGACGCGCGAGGAAGUGUGCGAUCCCUCUGAGCCCCAGAGGCUCUCCUCUGACCUUCGCCUCCCACUGGGUGGAGCGGGGCUUUUAAGAGCCGCCGGGGUGCAGGCCCAGGUCAGAGUAGCCGGUGCUGGCCUGUCUGAACCUCUCCAGGCUGCAGAGCGGGGCUCUGAGCUCCAAGCGGCCGGCCUAGCUCUGCGCCCCUCGCCACCGUCCUCCCCGGAGCAAGAAGCGGGACCGGCCCUGCCCAGCUGCCCGGCCAUGGGGGAGGACGCUGCCCACGCCGAGAAGCCCCAGCACCCGGGCUCCGAGCUGCGGCCGGAGAAGCCAGCCAGCCCCAGCCCGGCGCCCUCCUCCACGCCCAGCCCCAGCCUGCACCCCGGCAGCACGGACGAGGCGCUCCGGGACCACGCGCAGGUGAACGCGGUCACGGUGCUCACGCUGCUGGACAAGCUGGUGAAGAUGAUGGACGUGGUGCAGGAGAACCAGCACAAGAUGGAGCAGCGGCAGAUCAGCCUGGAGGGCUCGGUGAAGGGCAUCCAGAACGACCUGACCAAGCUCUCCAAGUACCAGGCCUCCACCGGCAACACGGUGAGCAAGCUGCUGGACAAGUCCCGCAAGGUGAGCGCGCACACGCGCGCCGUCCGGGAGCGCCUGGAGCGCCAGUGCGCGCAGGUGAAGCGGCUGGAGAGCAACCACGCGCAGCUCCUGCGCCGCAACCAUUUCAAAGUGCUCAUCUUCCAGGAAGAGCACGAGAUCCCCGCCAGUGUGUUUGCCAAAGAGCCCGUGUCCAGCCCCACCGAAGGGAAGGAGGAACUUGCCGAUGAGAACAAGUCUCUGGAGGAAACCUUGCACACAGUGGACCUCUCGUCGGAAGAUGAGUUGGCCCACGACGAGGAGGCCCUGGAAGACAGCGCAGAGGAAAGCCUGGGAGAGAGCAGAGCCGAGAAAAUCAAAAGGUCCAGCCUCCGGAAGGUGGACAGCCUCAAGAAGGCCUUCUCUCGCCAGAACAUCGAGAAGCAGAUGAACAAGCUGGGGACAAAGAUCGUGUCUGUGGAGAGGAGGGAGAAGAUCAAGAAAUCGUUCGCUUCCAACCACGAGAAAACAUCCUCCGGGAAAAGCUCCCCCUUCAAGGUCUCCCCUCUCACUUUCGGGCGCAAGAAAGUCCGAGAGGCGGAAAGCGCUGGGGAGAACGAGGCCAAGUCCGAAGACGUGCCCAACGACCAUGACCACGAGGGGAGCUCACUGGCCGAGGGGCUCUCCCAAGCAUCCCUCUCCAGCGUCCUGGCCGAAGGGAAGGGGGCCGAGGGGGAGAGUGGGAGGGCAGCCUCGCGGGGGAGUAACUCUGGCAUGGACAGCAACGUGGACUUGACCGUGGAGGUAGAUGAGGAGUCGUUGGUGGCCCGGGAACAGGCACAGAAGGUGCGCUACGAGGGCGGCUACGCGCUCAACUCCAAGGAGGCAGAGCGGUCGGAAGAGGAGGCCGCCCAGCCCCCUGUGCUGCCGGUGGGCCACCUGGCCUGAGCAGGGGCCCACUGGGCCAGCGGCGCCUGCAGGCAGGUGGGAGCCUAGGACCCGCGUCCACGCGUCUCUAGCACUACCCACUCACUACUGUGUUGUUGUCCAUGUAGCAAGCAGCACACACGUGACCAAGAUCCGCUAUGAAGGCAGCCUGUGGGGGGCUCCAUUUCUAAUUUGCUCCUAGGCCCUGUUCCUGUAGGAUUUCUCCCAGAUUGCCCAGAAGAAAUGAAGCAGUUGAAAAACACGGAUCAGUUUAGCUUAGGAGAACCAGGGGCUCCUGCAGACACUGGUCAUGAAGGGUGAUUGAUUUGGGGUCACUCCAUAAGCUUGCUGCAGAGCGUACCAGCAACAGAUGGAAUUUCCCAGAACUCCGUGCAUCUGUUAGUUAUUUUUCAGAAUCUGAGUCUCAUUCUUCAAGUUUAACUUUCUUGACAUCACCUUGCCAGCUCGGGGGAGCAGCUGAAUUGAUUGCAGCUGCUUGAUGAAUUUGAUAUUUCCAUCUGCAUUUUUACUGUGUGGUGCCAGGCCUCGUAAUACCUUAAGCAGCCCUGCAAACACAAAUGUAUCGGGCUGUGCGUUCAGUGGCUUCCACACCCAUGAACCUCUGCCUCCUCAUUGCCAUACAUCCGGUGGAAGACUUCAUUUCGCUCAUGGCCCUCGGCAUGCCUGUUCCACCUGCACUAGGUUGCUAUCCCUUCUUGCUGCCAAGGAGGUGGAGGGUCCAGGGUUAACGUGAUGAUUGCAUUUCCUUUUCAAAAAAUGCGCAUGCGGUGUAGUGAAAAACUACACGCAGGCAUCUUUUCAGGUUUUACUGGCAAACAAUUUACUCUAUGCUCCACAUUCGAAGCAUUAAAAUCCUAAGCAAUAAGCAGAGAACAAGGCCAGAGAAUUGCUGGAAAGCACACACAGCCGGGAUCAGAGAGGAGCCGUUGAGGAGGCAGAAGCUGUUUCCUCUGUGUUGCUGUUGAAUUAUUUGCAUUCUGGUGAGGCUGCAAAGUCCCCAAAUUAGACAUGUCUUCCCCCCGCCCGGCCACUAACCCAUUUCUAACUUAUGUGCCUGGCGCUCACGGGAUUAGUUUCCCCCCAAAGGUUGGUUGUACAUUAAUAAGCACUGAGAUCCAUAUCUUAGAAACAUAAUUCAGAAGCAAAAAACUUCAUUACAUGGAUCACAAAUCUCACAGAAAUACAGCAAAGAUGUCACUUUUCUACGAGAUUUUAUUUUUAAAAUAUAUAGAUACAUAUUUCAACAGGAACAUUUUUCUCUUUCCAAUUAGGGAUCCAGUCUAUGUCUGAAUUUCUUUAUACACAUGAAAAUAAAAGACCCACGCUAGGGCCAGUUCUGCACAAAAUAAAGAUUUUUUUUUCCACAUUUAUUGUGUGAUGAAAGCCCAGAAUGUUUCUGCUUUUGGGCAAAAAAAAAAAAAAAAAAAUCAAGGUUUAAACCUCCUGCAUUUCAGGCCAAGAUCAGGAAACCGGAAGCUCCUUGGACAGAGCCAAGCAGCGAGUGUUGGUAAAGGUUAUAUUGAAAGUCACUUCCUACAUUAAGAGACUAAUGCCCGGGCCCAGUUAAUUCUUGCUUGAAAGUUUGUUUACUGCCCUCCGGCCCCAGCCUAAGUGAUUUUAUAUUGGAGAUUGAGAGCAUGAGGAAUCGAGGUGCAGGCAGCGACCAUUAUUAACAGUUCCAUAGCAACCACCCGUCCUCUCCUAAAAACCAACGCGGACACCACAAAGCUGCUCAGAUGAAACUGGCGUUGUGACCUUUGUGUUGUGCUGGAUCUGGGUGUCGAGAUAAAGACUUCUGCAGCCAGGAGCUCCUGCCUAAAGGGAACGGGCAGUAACUCCCAUUACUGAAGAGAGAGUCUUCUUAUUUUUGUUUUAAACAUUGCAUUGUCCUGAAGCACUGAAAUUAUUUUUAACUCUCCACUCAAACUUCCCAGUGAAAAAGCCAGACCUUCAGCAAAACAGCAUGAUAGUCAUACAUUUAGACUUUCCACCACAAAACCAAUUCAUUAAAUAUUUAUUCAGCAAUGCAACCAUUUGUCUCUCCCACUGGCUAAAAAUUCU